rnacentral:lncRNA from 1 species
CACACAAUGGAGUUUCAAAUUUUCAGUAUUUCUUAUCAUACAAAACAGGAAAAUUCUUUUUUGCGUAGUUAUAACAAAUUUAAAUUAUUUUUCAAUUUUCCCUUAACUUAUCUACUUAUGAGAUCAAAUAAUGAAUCCUCAAGUAAAAACUUUCAAACACAUAAGCAAAACAAAAUUGAAUAAACAGUCAUCAAUUAUUAAUCAUUAAUAAUAAUAAUAAUAACUGUUUGUGUUACAAGAAACUAGAUUUCAUUUUAAUCUUGUAUUCACAAAAGUUUUCCAUUAGUUAGCUAUGUGCUAUUCAAAAAGCAUAAUCACCCAAAAUUAAGCAGAAAAACUUAAAAAUGGUGAAAGGACUUCCUGGGGAGUAAAUUAUGCCUAGUAAGACAUAUAUAGUCACUUCCUAUUCUGUUACUACUAAAUUUUCAGCAAUCUAUUGGUAUGAAUUAAAUUUAUCUUAGUUCUGGACAGCAAGGUAAAUCCAAAACUAUGAAUUUUUAUUCUUAGAUGGAACAGUAGCAUGAUUAGCAAAAAUUAAUUGGUUGUAUUCCUUAGUAAGGAUGGUAUAUGUGUGUCAUAGCUCAGCAGUACUGAUGAAACUCAAUAACAAAAUCAAGAAAACUGAAAUAUAUUGGGUGGACCUCUUCAAACACUUGAUUUAAUAGCUUUUAAUUUUUAAUUUCAAUUCAUGUCUUAGUCCAUUAAUAUCUUAUUGUCUUGAUAUAAAAAAUUUGCAGUGAAUAGAUAUAAAAUUUUCUUACAAGAAAGGUUCCUUGUAAUACUAAUGAAUGAUCCAUUUUUUCCUGUGCUAGUUGUUUACAAACUAAAAACUGUAGACCUGAGGUACAGUCUCAGCUGCUAAAUAUAAUAAUAUUACAAGGAUAGGCAAGUGUGUUGAAUGAUUAUCUAUAAAUAUUAAGCUAACACCACUUAAAAGUGGACUUUCUUCACCAAACAUUUCAGAGCUCAGAAUAUUUUUCUUAAACAUUUAUAUUAUUUUUGUUCUUUUUUCUUUUUUAAUUUUAAUAUUUUUAUUAAAAUAUCAUUAUAUAACCUCCACUUUCCUCUCUUUCCUCUAGUCCCGCGCAAAUACCUUUGCUCUACACUUUCCCUUCCUCUCUUUUUUUUUUCUCUUUAUUACUGUUUUAAUACACAGUCACACAGAUACAGGCACAGAUACACGCAAAUACACACAUAUGGGUACACAAAAAUAUAUUUAAAAUCUUUCUGAUUUGUUUGUAUAUAGUUUCAUGGAUGACCACUGUACAAUGGAAAAUUAAUAAGUGCUCUCAUCACUGGAUCGAGAGGUUAUUUUUCCUCUCUUCCAAUAGUCAUUGCAUGUCUACAGUUCUUUACAGAGGUGCGGUAUCUCAUGAAAAAUUUUCCUUCCACAUUAGCACAUUUAUUGAUAUUGCCACUGCUGAAAUUUUUAUAAACUCAUUCACACAUAAGGUAAGCAGAAAUGUAUAAUAGAAUCCUCACUCUUUACCGUGUCUAAAUCAACUUUCUGUCCCCAGAAACCCAGUGUAUCAUCAUUUGUCCUUUAGAUAUUAAAAGUUAAGGAAGUUUAGAAAGAUAAUUAUUCUUUAGAAACAGCACAUGUAAGAAGAUUAGGGAUGUCUUCACCAAAUCAGAAUAGUAUUACUAUGAACUGGCAAUCAGCUUGAACAAGACAGCUCAUUAGCCACCGAAACCACAAAAACACCAUGGUGAACUAAAGAUCUCCAUGGGUGACAUGCAGCAGAAGGAUGUAAGUGAUGCCUGGUAGUUCUUCAGCACAAUUGCUGUUAAAAGAAAUUUAAUGG